UGGUCAGAUUCUUUUCUAUGUUUACUUCAGUUCAAGCUUCUGUGCGCCUAGGUUCACUAUUUGCUGCUUGUAGGAUACUUACUCCAUGGCUGAUAAUAUCAGCGUGAUGGAUAAAUCUUAUGUUGCACCCUGUCAUUUGUUCUCAAGAGGCCAAGUGGUUUUCUGCAAAAAGCAUAGAGAAGUAUUGUAAAUUCACAGGAAAUAACAAAAUUGUUUAAAGUUUAUUUGGGUUGGAUCUGUAUAUACACUAUUUUCUUAAAACGCAAACAUGUACAUUCACAACUGAAUAGAUGAUACAUUUUUUUGGAUCUGUACAUGCAAUUUUUUGCACUGGAUUGGUGGUUAGUUUUAUGUACCGUUUGAAUUAUAACAGAAUAGCAUUAGUAGUGCUCUGAUUUAGUUCUCAUCAAAAUCAACAGCCCUCUCUUGUGUUCCUGUUAUGAGAAUUGUUCCUUCAAGGAUAUGCCAGAAUGACAUAUGUGUUCAAUCUUCAAUGUGAACAAUUGGUGUUUUCCUCUUAGUUUUGGCCCCUAAAUAUUUUUCUUGAAGCUCCACUAUCGCAUCCUGUUCCUGGUACAGCAAGUACCAGUUCUUGAGUGUUUGCACAGUUUUCCUCCAAGGAGCUCCAGGUCUACAAAAUUUGAAGUUCAAAACCAUAUAGCUCUACUCAGCAAAGAAUCUUCUCUUCUAUUUGAUUGUAAUAGAAUGUAAAUAUUCUAAUAUUGUAAUUGUAGGCAUAUCUGGGUUGUAAUAAGUAUAUAGAGAUUGUAGUAGACUUAGUUAGUUUUAUUUGAUGAACUACAUUUGUACUGUUCUGUUUGAAAUAUUGAUUAUGUACGUGAUUUGAAAACGUGUGGAAUGGAAACCUAACUUGUGGGAUUCACUUAUGAAAAUAAUCUCAGUUUUGAAUUUUC